ACACUCCUGCGGGAGGCAACAGUGGGGAAUAUUGGACAAUGGGCGCAAGCCUGAUCCAGCCAUGCCGCGUGAGUGAUGAAGGCCCUAGGGUUGUAAAGCUCUUUCACCGGUGAAGAUAAUGACGGUAACCGGAGAAGAAGCCCCGGCUAACUUCGUGCCAGCAGCCGCGGUAAUACGAAGGGGGCUAGCGUUGUUCGGAUUUACUGGGCGUAAAGCGCACGUAGGCGGACUAUUAAGUCAGGGGUGAAAUCCCGGGGCUCAACCCCGGAACUGCCUUUGAUACUGGUAGUCUUGAGUUCGAGAGAGGUGAGUGGAAUUCCGAGUGUAGAGGUGAAAUUCGUAGAUAUUCGGAGGAACACCAGUGGCGAAGGCGGCUCACUGGCUCGAUACUGACGCUGAGGUGCGAAAGCGUGGGGAGCAAACAGGAUUAGAUACCCCUGUAGUCCCAUGA
rnacentral:rRNA from 1 species